UUCGCCUCCUCCGCCUCUCUCUCUCUCUCCGGUCUGUAACCUUCUUCUCGCUUCUCACAAAUUUGUCCUGUCAAAGCUGUAAUCCAUGGUUUCCGAUGGCAAGUCGUUUAUCGACCGUGGUUAAGCUUUUUAUCCACAAUAUCGCGCUUUGUUCGAAGCUCUCAAAUCCAACCCUGGACUAUAGUAAUUACAUUUAUGCUUACAAAAUACCUGAAUUUCUGACCUAAACUCACAAAUUUCAUUAUCCAAAACCUAACCCUAUCUCGUUUCUGCUAGCCGAUUCUACUCAACUGCCGCUGAUUUCGCGAUGUUAGUUCACAAACCUAAUUCCAGAAUGCCUUAGUGGAAGAACAGAGAGGUCAACAACACUAUAAGACAAAGUCCAGAUUUAGAUUUUAAAAACAUUUUCACAGAUUCGUAAGUUUGGACCAACCGGACUCUUAUUGCUCCUCUCCUCCUGUGGAGAGGGCUAACCUGAGAAGCAAAAUGUAUUCUGAGGGGCUUUUUACAGCAAAAUUCGGAGAGUUAAUUUGAAAGUUUUUCGUUUGUGGGGUUGAAUAUCUGAUUACACCGCACUAUUUAUAGUAGAUUUUCAAUUAGAUAUUGUGGUUUGUUCUAUGCCCCUUCGAAAAAAAACAAAGUGUCUUGGAAGUAUGAAGAUCCAACAAAACGUUUCAGAUUCCAAGAGCAGAUUCAUUAGUCUUAUGUUCAAUUAAAUUUAAAAUAGAUCUGAUUUAUUAGGAUGUAUUAGUAGUAUUGCAAGUUUGCUUCUCUAUGUAUUUAUGAAUGUGUAAUUAAUUCAAAUUUAAAAUGGAACAAAAAACAUAGAUGGGAACCAUCUAGAUAUCUGUAAAACAAUAUAAACAGCAUUUAGUACUCCUGGAUUGAGUCUACCUAGUAAAACGGCAGCUUCUCUACCUAGAAAUUGCAUUAAAUGAAAUGGAAAAAUCUGCUAUU